CCUUAAGAGCUACACAAUGUACAGUUUGUUUUUUUUCCACAACAACAUUAUUUUCGUACAGUUCUUACCUGUCUAAGAAGAUAUGUAGAAGAACCAUGGCCAUUAGAAAUCACGGGAAGAUUAAAGCAAGGGGAAAGCUUCACACACAGAUUCUGUUAG